UUUAGAGCUACUCAAAAAAAG
ensembl:piRNA 21ur-5704 ncRNA